rnacentral:rRNA from 1 species
GAAUGAACGCUGGCGGCGCGCCUAAUACAUGCAAGUCGAGCGAGAAGACGUAGCAAUACGUUUGUAAAGCGGCGAACGGGUGAGGAAUACAUGGGUAACCUACCCUCGAGUGGGGAAUAACUAGCCGAAAGGUUAGCUAAUACCGCGUACGCUCCUUGGACUUCGGUUCAGGGAGGAAAGCGAUACCGUGGGUAUCGCGCUCUUGGUUGGGCCCAUGUCCUAUCAGCUUGUGGUGAGGAACGGCUCACCAAGGCUUCGACGGUAGCUGGUCUGAGAGGACGAUCAGCCACACUGGCACUGCGACACGGGCCAGGACUCCUACGGGAGC